rnacentral:rRNA from 1 species
GACGAACGCUGGCGGCGUGCUUAACACAUGCAAGUCGAACGGAAAGGCCCUGCUUUUGUGGGGUGCUCGAGUGGCGAACGGGUGAGUAACACGUGAGUAACCUGCCCUUGACUUUGGGAUAACUUCAGGAAACUGGGGCUAAUACCGGAUAGGAGCUCCUGCUGCAUGGUGGGGGUUGGAAAGUUUCGGCGGUUGGGGAUGGACUCGCGGCUUAUCAGCUUGUUGGUGGGGUAGUGGCUUACCAAGGCUGUGACGGGUAGCCGGCCUGAGAGGGUGACCGGCGACAUGGGGACUGAGAGACGGCCCAGACUCCUACGGGAGGCAGCAGUGGGGAAUAUUGCACAAUGGGCGGGAGCCUGAUGCAGCAACGCCGCGUGCGGGAUGACGGCCUUCGGGUUGUAAACCGCUUUCGCCUGUGACGAAGCGUGAGUGACGGUAAUGGGUAAAGAAGCACCGGCUAACUACGUG